rnacentral:rRNA from 1 species
GACGAACGCUGGCGGCGCGCCUAAUACAUGCAAGUCGAACGAUAGCGACCGGUGCUUGCACUGGUCAAUCUAGUUGCGAACGGUUGAGUAACACGGGGGUAACCUGCCGUUCAUAGGGUGAUAACAUCCUUAGACGGAUGCUAAAACCGCAUAGGUAUUCGAGCAUCAUGUCAUGAUGAGACAAAGAGUCACAAGCUUCUCCUGAUUGAUCGACGCGCGGUGCAUUAGCUAGUUGGUGAGGUAACGGCUCACCAAGGCCGUGAUGCAUAGCCGACCUGAGAGGGUGAUCGGCCACAUUGGGACUGAGACACGGCCCAAACUCCUACGGGAGGCAGCAGUAGGGAAUCUUCCGCAAUGGACGCAAGUCUGACGGAGCAACGCCGCGUGAGUGAAGAAGGUUUUCGGAUCGUAAAACUCUGUUGUUAGAGAAGAACAAGUGCUAGAGUAACUGUUAGCGCCUUGACGGUAUCUAACCAGAAAGCCACGGCUAACUACGUG